UACGUAGGGUGCAAGCGUUGUCCGGAAUUACUGGGCGUAAAGAGCUCGUAGGCGGUCUGUCGCGUCGGCUGUGAAAACCCGAGGCUCAACCUCGGGCCUGCAGUCGAUACGGGCAAACUAGAGUACUGCAGGGGAGACUGGAAUUCCUGGUGUAGCGGUGAAAUGCGCAGAUAUCAGGAGGAACACCGGUGGCGAAGGCGGGUCUCUGGGCAGUAACUGACGCUGAGGAGCGAAAGCGUGGGGAGCGAACAGG
rnacentral:rRNA from 1 species